GCCAGACUCCUACGGGAGGCAGCAGUGGGGAAUAUUGCACAAUGGGCGCAAGCCUGGUGCAGCAACGCCGCGUGAGCGAAGAAGGUCUUCGGAUCGUAAAGCUCUGUCCUUGAGGAAGAAGGAAGUGACGGUACUCAAGGAGGAAGCCCCGGCUAACUACGUGCCAGCAGCCGCGGUAAUACGUAGGGGGCAAGCGUUGUUCGGAAUGACUGGGCGUAAAGGGUGUGUAGGCGGUGUAGCAAGUUAGAAGUGAAAUACCUAGAGCUUAACUCAGGUGCUGCUUCUAAAACUGCUAUACUUGAGUGCAGUAGAGGAAAGUGGAAUUCCUAGUGUAGCGGUGGAAUGCGUAGAUAUUAGGAGGAACAUCAGUGGCGAAGGCGACUUUCUGGACUGUAACUGACGCUGAGGCACGAAAGUGUGGGGAGCAAACAGGAUUAGAUACCCGAGUAC
rnacentral:rRNA from 1 species